UACGUAGGGUGCGAGCGUUGUCCGGAAUUAUUGGGCGUAAAGGGCUCGUAGGCGGUUUGUCGCGUCGGGAGUGAAAACCUUGGGCUUAACUCAGGGCUUGCUUUCGAUACGGGCAGACUAGAGGUAUGCAGAGGAGAACGGAAUUCCUGGUGUAGCGGUGAAAUGCGCAGAUAUCAGGAGGAACACCGGUGGCGAAGGCGGUUCUCUGGGCAUGAUCUGACGCUGAGGAGCGAAAGUGUGGGGAGCGAACAGG
rnacentral:rRNA from 1 species